UAAUAGCGUAUAUUAAUGUUGUUGCAGUUAAAAAGCUCGUAGUUGGAUUUUGGUGUUUGACAAAAUGGUCUGCCUUCGGGUUUGCACUGUUUGUUGGCACUUCUUUUCUGGGGAACUCACUGCUCUUAAUUGAGGGGUGCUGUAACGCAGAUCGUUUACUUUGAAAAAUUAGAGUGUUCAAAGCAGGCUUUUGCUGUGAAUACAUUAGCAUGGAAUAAUAAUCUAGGACUUCGGUUUUAUUUUGUUGGUUUCUAAAAUUGAAGUAAUGAUUGAUAGGGAUAGUUGGGGGUGCUAGUAUUGGCCGGCCAGAGGUGAAAUUCUUGGAUUCGGUCAAGACUAACUUAUGCGAAAGCAUUCACCAAGGAUAUCUUCUUUAAUCAAGAACGAAAGUUGGGGGAUCGAAGAUGAUCAGAUACC
rnacentral:rRNA from 1 species